GGGAGAAAGACCAGGUUCACUGUGGUCUGCGAUAAAUUUGUCUGCAUCAUGGGAAUCCCAGCGUCUGUCCGGGGAGCACUCUCUGGAGGUUUCUUCUCGUUCCCAUCAGCAGUCGUGAAAUCCUCGGAGGCGUCUCCGCUGCCGCCCGUCCUGUGCUCUGCCUGCUCCUGAUGUCAGCCUCCUGCUUAGACAUCCUCUCCGUGAGACAUCCUCGUUAGAUAGCUUCCUCUCUGGUACCUGCUUUCUCAGUCCAAAGUUGGCUGAAUGAUUGAAAAGCCACAUUUAUUUUUGAAGUAUGUCAUAAGGGCUCUGCUGUGAUCAGCUUUGCCAGACAGUGUAAAUUUGAGCGGAAUUGUCAAUUCCUUGAAGUUGAGCACACACAUACCUACACGUGUACGUGCGGGGGUAUGUAAAUAC
rnacentral:lncRNA from 1 species